rnacentral:lncRNA from 1 species
AAACUUUGAGGUUCAACGUUCGUUUAGUAAAAAUAUCAUAACUUUUUCAUAUGAACUCCGAUUGGGACGAUUCAAGAUGUUCCGGAAAGCUAAAGAAGAGCUCUACAAUAAAAUUCAAGUCCCAAGCUAAGAACAUGCAUCCAACUUAAUGCUAAAAAUUCUGCAAUUUUCUCUUUUUCCUUAUUUCAGCUCCAAUUCUUCCUGAAAUCAUUAAAUACCUUAAUAAGCUCAUAUACCCAUGAAACAUGCAAUAAAACUAAAUAUAAUGGAAUCAAAAUAAAUGAAUAAUAUGCACUCAUCA